rnacentral:rRNA from 1 species
UACGAAGGGUGCGAGCGUUAAUCGGAAUUACUGGGCGUAAAGCGUGCGCAGGCGGCUUUGCAAGACAGAUGUGAAAUCCCCGGGCUCAACCUGGGAACUGCAUUUGUGACUGCAAGGCUAGAGUACGGCAGAGGGGGAUGGAAUUCCGCGUGUAGCAGUGAACUGCGUAGAUAUGCGGAGGAACACCAAUGGCGAAGGCAAUCCCCUGGGCCUGUACUGACGCUCAUGCACGAAAGCGUGGGGAGCAAACAGG